UUGGAGGGCAAGUCUGGUGCCAGCAGCCGCGGUAAUUCCAGCUCCAAUAACGUAUAUUAAAGUUGUUGCAGUUAAAAAGCUCGUAGUUGAACCUUAGGCCCGUGCGGGUGGUCCGUCCUCUGGGCGAGUACUGCCUCGUUGCGGGUCUCACCUUCUGGCGAGCGUGGAUGCCAUUUAUUUGGUGUCUGCGGGAACCAGGACCUUUACCUUGAAAAAAUUAGAGUGCUCAAAGCGGGCUCUUGCGCUUGAAUACAUUAGCAUGGAAUAAUGAAAUAGGACGAUGGUUCUAUUUUGUUGGUUUCUGGGACCGUCGUAAUGAUUAAUAGGGAUAGUUGGGGGCAUUCGUAUUCAAUUGUCAGAGGUGAAAUUCUUGGAUUUAUUGAAGACGGACUACUGCGAAAGCAUUUGCCAAGGAUGUUUUCAUUAAUCAAGAACGAAAGUUGGGGGAUC
rnacentral:rRNA from 1 species